rnacentral:rRNA from 1 species
GACGAACGCUGGCGGCGUGGAUUAGGCAUGCAAGUCGAACGGUAUCAUCCUUUCGGGGGUGAGAGAGUGGCGAACUGGUGAGUAACACGUAGGUUAUCUACCCUCAAGACGGGGACAACCCAGGGAAACUUGGGCUAAUACCGGAUGUGAGCAACUUUUAGUUGUUUGAAAGGUGGCGUAAGCUGUCGCUUGGGGAUGAGCCUGCGUCCUAUUAGUUAGUUGGUGAGGUAACGGCUCACCUAGGCAAUGAUAGGUAGGCGGCCUUAACGGGUGGUCGCCCACACUGGGAUUGAGAUACGGCCCAGACUCCUACGGGAGGCAGCAGUCGAGAAUAGUCUACAAUGGUCGGAAGACUGAUAGUGCGACGCCGCGUGAACGAUGAAUCCCUUCGGGGUGUAAAGUUCUUUUAUAUGUGAGCAGUGCUUCUUAUAUUAACAGUAUGGGGAGAGAUAUAUUAGCAUAUGAAUAAGCAACGGCUAACUCCGUGCCAGCAGCCGCGGUAAUA